rnacentral:rRNA from 1 species
UACGUAGGGUGCGAGCGUUGUCCGGAAUUACUGGGCGUAAAGAGCUCGUAGGUGGUUUAUCGCGUUGUCCGUGAAAACUCACAGCUUAACUGUGGGCGUGCGGGCGAUACGGGCAGACUGGAGUACUGCAGGGGAGACUGGAAUUCCUGGUGUAGCGGUGGAAUGCGCAGAUAUCAGGAGGAACACCGGUGGCGAAGGCGGGUCUCUGGGCAGUAACUGACGCUGAGGAGCGAAAGCGUGGGGAGCGAACAGG